AAUGAAGAGGAAUGCUCUGAGUGGCUGAGGUCUGGAUGGAUGAAUACAAACAUAAUGUCAACAUCGCCUGGAACCUCCCACUGAAGGAUCAUGGCAUAGACAUUGGGGAUGUUUCAGAGAGGAAGAAGUUGAGAAAGAGUCUGAACUGCAAACCCUUCCAGUGGUAUCUGGACAAUGUGUAUCCAAUGUUAGACCCCCUGGGUGACUUGCUUGGUUAUGGAGCUCUGGUCAAUGACCUGAAGAUGGAUCUCUGUAUAGAUCAAGGCCCAGUUCCGGGGAACACACCUAUUUUAUAUGGAUGCCGUUAUUUUG